UACGAGGGGGGCGAGCGUUGUUCGGAAUUAUUGGGCGUAAAGGGUGCGUAGGCGGUUUGGUAAGUCUUACGUGAAAUCUACAGGCUCAACUUGUAGUCUGCAUGAGAAACUGCCGGGCUUGAGUAUGGGAGAGGUGAGUGGAAUUCCUGGUGUAGCGGUGAAAUGCGUAGAUAUCAGGAGGAACACCCGUGGCGAAGGCGGCCCCCUGGGCCGCGCCUGACGCUGAGACGCGAAAGCGCGGGGAGCGAACGGG
rnacentral:rRNA from 1 species